UGAAACCGUGUACGUACAAGCAGUAGGAGCACCUUCGUGGUGUGACUGCGUACCUUUUGUAUAAUGGGUCAGCGACUUAUAUUCAGUGGCAAGGUUAACCGUAUAGGGGAGCCGUAGCGAAAGCGAGUCUUAACUGGGCGCUCAGUCUCUGGAUAUAGACCCGAAACCGGGUGAUCUAGCCAUGGGCAGGUUGAAGGUUGAGUAACAUCAACUGGAGGACCGAACCGACUAAUGUUGAAAAAUUAGCGGAUGACUUGUGGCUAGGGGUGAAAGGCCAAUCAAACUCGGAGAUAGCUGGUUCUCCCCGAAAGCUAUUUAGGUAGCGCCUCGGACGAAUACUACUGGGGGUAGAGCACUGUUAAGGCUAGGGGGUCAUCCCGACUUACCAACCCUUUGCAAACUCCGAAUACCAGUAAGUACUAUCCGGGAGACACACGGCGGGUGCUAACGUCCGUCGUGGAGAGGGAAACAACCCAGACCGCCAGCUAAGGUCCCAAAGUAUUGCUAAGUGGGAAACGAUGUGGGAAGGCUCAGACAGCUAGGAUGUUGGCUUAGAAGCAGCCAUCAUUUAAAGAAAGCGUAAUAGCUCACUAGUCGAGUCGGCCUGCGCGGAAGAUGUAACGGGGCUAAGCAAUACACCGAAGCUGCGGCAAUGUC
rnacentral:rRNA from 1 species